GAUCCCUUAGCUCAGAUGGAUAGAGUAUCUGACUUCGAAUCAGAGGGUCGGGGGUUCGAGUCCCUCAGGGAUCGCCA
rnacentral:tRNA from 2 species